UGGGGAAUUUUGGACAAUGGGGGAAACCCUGAUCCAGCCAUCCCGCGUGUGCGAUGAAGGCCUUCGGGUUGUAAAGCACUUUUGGCAGGAAAGAAACGUCAUGGGUUAAUACCCCGUGAAACUGACGGUACCUGCAGAAUAAGCACCGGCUAACUACGUGCCAGCAGCCGCGGUAAUACGUAGGGUGCAAGCGUUAAUCGGAAUUACUGGGCGUAAAGCGUGCGCAGGCGGUUCGGAAAGAAAGAUGUGAAAUCGCAGAGCUCAACUUUGGAACUGCAUUUUUAACUACCGGGCUAGAGUGUGUCAGAGGGAGGUGGAAUUCCGCGUGUAGCAGUGAAAUGCGUAGAUAUGCGGAGGAACACCGAUGGCGAAGGCAGCCUCCUGGGAUAACACUGACGCUCAUGCACGAAAGCGUGGGGAGCAAACAGG
rnacentral:rRNA from 1 species